rnacentral:rRNA from 1 species
UCGUGGAGUGGUUUGUCUGGUUAAUUCCGUUAACGAACGAGAUCUGAACCUGCUAAGUAGCUCAAUGUGGCCAUUGGUCAUGUUGAGUACUUCUUAGAGGCUUGUUGCGUGCCUAAUGCAAGGAAGUUGGAGGCAAUAACA